GGUUGAUCCUGCCAGUAGUCAUACGCUCGUCUCAAAGAUUAAGCCAUGCAUGUCUAAGUAUAAAUAUAUUACAGUGAAACUGCGAAUGGCUCAUUAUAUAAGUUAUCGUUUAUUUGAUAGUCCCUUACUACUUGGAUAACCGUAGUAAUUCUAGAGCUAAUACAUGCGUCAAUACCCUUCUGGGGUAGUAUUUAUUAGACAGAAGCCAACCCCUUCGGGGUGAUGUGGUGAUUCAUAAUAAGCAUGCGGAUUGCACGGUUCUGCCGGCAAUGGAUCAUUCAAGUUUCUUCC
rnacentral:rRNA from 1 species